rnacentral:rRNA from 1 species
AGAAUCAACGCUGGCGGCGUGCCUAACACAUGCAAGUCGAACGAGAAAGUGGAGCAAUCCAUGAGUAAAGUGGCGCACGGGUGAGUAACACGUGACUAACCUACCCUUGAGUGGGGAAUAACUUCGGGAAACCGAGGCUAAUACCGCAUAACACCUACGGGUCAAAGGAGCAAUUCGCUUAAGGAGGGGGUCGCGGCAGAUUAGUUAGUUGGUAGGGUAAUGGCCUACCAAGACGGUGAUCUGUAU